rnacentral:rRNA from 1 species
AUUGAACGCUGGCGGCAGGCUUAACACAUGCAAGUCGAGCGAGCGGCGGACGGGUGAGUAAUGUAUGGGAAACUGCCAGAUGGAGGGGGAUAACGACUGGAAACGGUAGCUAAUACCGCAUACCAUCAGAUGUGCCCAGAUGGGAUUAGCGAGGAGGUGGGGUAAUGGCUCACCUAGGCGACGAUCCAUAGCUGGUCUGAGAGGAUGAUAAGCCACACUGGAACUGAGACACGGCCCAGACUCCUACGGUGGGCAGCAGUGGGGAAUAUUGCACAAUGGGCGCAAGCCUGAUGCAGCCAUGCCGCGUGUGUGAAGAAGGCCUUAGGGUUGUAAAGAACUUUCGGCGAGGAAGCGUUACUCGCAGAAGAAGCACCGGCUAACUCCGUGCCAGCAGCCGCGGUAAUUC